rnacentral:sRNA from 1 species
UUUGGGAGGUUCAUCUACAGUUGAAGAGUAAUUAAGUACAGAUCGAAGAACAGGAGAUUUAUUUUAUUUGAGACCUGCAAGGCUCCUCACAGCACAAGUAUCAUCAACAUACACAUGCUAGAAACGUGGAUAUGCUGAUGAUCUUCAUAUCGCAAUGAAGACACGUGACACUUCAAAAUGAUUGCAUAGGAGCUUACAAAUGAUUCUGAGGCUCAAGAACCACAGAGCAGAAGUGUGUUGUGCUGGCCACUAUGCCAUGGUGGUACCUCCUGAAGCUUUCUGGGCCUGGAUGAUUGUGACUCACCUUGCAUGCUAGGCAAGCCUACACAGACCCAGGCAGUGGGCCUCAUCAAAGGAACUCAAGUCCCCCAAAUACAGGUCAAGGUAAUCCCUCAAUAAGGUCCCUUUGAUGUUUGCAAUUAACUUUCACUCUUUGUCAUGGUAUUUAGACUUUGGCCUCUCACUGAUUUUAAAAGGAAGUGUGACAUUUUUGAGACGGGAAUCAGAUAAUUGGGGGGCAAUCUGAGCGACAUUUUCGAUUGUGUUCCAACUGCGGUAUGUGAGGUACAUGCCACUUUCUUAGUAGAUUAUUGGCAGUCGGACAGGCUGAGUCAUUGCUUAAAUGUAUUCAAGUAGAAUUAUUGAGCAGAACAACAGGGUGUGUGUGUGUGGGGAUCUAGCAGGAAACAAACCAUGUGGGUCAUUUUGAGGUGUGACUUCUUAGGAUGUUUGUUUAGAUUUAUUUGAAUAAUACAAGGGCAUUAAAUAUGGGGCAAGGGGGACUUUUCUGUAUCUUGAAGGAAAUUUUUAUCAUGUAUAUUUUGUCACUUUGUUUUCCAUUUUUAGGAAAGAUUAUGUUCCCUUUUAUGUUAGAAUAUU